ACUGGCUUGUGGCAGCCA
rnacentral:snRNA from 1 species